rnacentral:rRNA from 1 species
AACGAACGCUGGCGGCAUGCCUAACACAUGCAAGUCGAACGAGGCCUUCGGGUCUAGUGGCGCACGGGUGCGUAACGCGUGGGAACCUGCCCUUAGGUUCGGAAUAACUCCCCGAAAGGGGUGCUCAUACCGGAUAAUGUCUUCGGACCAAAGAUUUAUCGCCUUUGGAUGGGCCCGCGUUGGAUUAGCUAGUUGGUAGGGUAAAAGCCUACCAAGGCGACGAUCCAUAGAUGGUCUGAGAGGAUGAUCAGCCACACUGGGACUGAGACACGGCCCAGACUCAGACGGGAGGCAGCAGUGGGGAAUAUUGGACAAUGGGCGAAAGCCUGAUCCAGCAAUGCCGCGUGAGUGAUGAAGGCAUUAGGGUUGUAAAGCUCUUUUACCCGGGAUGAUAAUGACAGUACCGGGAGAAUAAGCUCCGGCUAACUACGUG